AUACAUACAUACAUUAGAGUGCAUCACUUUGUUGAGUAAGGUAGAUGUUAUUGUUGAAAAGGUUUCAAUCCAACACCAAUUUGGCAUGUUAACUUAUUUGAGUUUGGCUUGUGGUCCACAUCUCAUGAUUCUCACCCUGAAUGAACACAAAGCAUUCUUUAAAAAAAAAAGAAAAAAAAAAGUACCCAGUAGUUCAAAAACCGACACUUCAAUAUAAAAAAGAAGUGCUACAAAUCUCAUAA
rnacentral:lncRNA from 1 species